GACCAAUUGGUAACGACAACCCAUCCAAAACAAACAUAGAAGCCACAAUCGAGAAAUCAAUUUGAAGAUUAAGAUAAAAGAAAAUUACCCAAACUAUUCAGCUCUUCAAUAAAGAGAUCAUAACCCAGCUCGCUUGAAGAAGAAACCCCGAUCGUUGUGAUAGAGAAUGAAGCAUUGCAGACUGAGAGAAAGGCGUUGACCUUUUCUGACACGAAGAAAGAAUAAACCCAGAUCGCUCCAUUAGAGAACAAAAGCGUUGCAGAGUAAGAGGAAGGCGUUGAGAGUCUGAGACAUGAAAAAAACAGAGAGAUUAAAACGGAAGGCUCAGGAACGCUCUGGAAGCGAGAGAAAAGACAGAAGUGGAGAGCAAAUUAGACAUUGCAACAGCCAAGAUAGCCCCAACACCUUGGCCCAACACCAGACCCAUGUGAGAUGCAGCACAAGCCCGCAGGAGACUGCACUGUUCUUCAGAACAAUAAGGCGGUGCCAGGCCGCAUAACAGAUAGUUAAAUCUCAAAGUCAUCUGUUGUUUCUGUAUUUCAAUCUCAAAAACCAAAAUACCAAGUGAUGUGUAGUUGCUUGGUUUCAUGACUUAAGAGAAGAGUGAGAGAGCUGAGAGAGCGACAAAGUUGAGAGAGAGGGCGAGAGAGUGAGAGUUGAGACAACAUUGAGAGAGAGAGGGCUUACUGUUGAGAGUGAGAGGGCGAGUUCAGAGUCGAUUUGUUUGAGAGUGAGAGUUGAGAGUCGAUCUGUUUGGUGGGUUUAGGGUGAAUGAAUGCGAGGGAGAGAGAGACAACGAUAUGAAUGCGAGAGAGUGAGAGUGUGAGACUAGCGUUUAGGGUUGGUGGGUACGAUAUUAAAUUUGUCAACUUUUUUCACACAACAGAAUAUAUACUCGGAGGGAAACUUUGGAGCCAAAACUAUUUUGGCAUAGCACACCAAAUCGAUGGAGGCAAACUUUGGAGCCAAAACAACUUUGGCAUGCCACCAGAUUUUCCAGUCACACAACCAAAUGUUUUAAACUGUUGUAUAUAUUUUCUAAACUUGCACUAGCUAGGUAUUACCUAGUAUAUAUUGUAACAACAUCAUACAACAAAGAAAUAAAAGUCUAUUGUCCA
rnacentral:lncRNA from 1 species